CCAUUCUUGAGAGCUGCUCCACCGAAAGCUGAAAAGGACAAACUUCUGCCAGCUGAGAGAGAAGCAGAAGAUGAAGAGGAAGGAGAAGGAGAGGAGGGAGAAGGAAAAGAAAGAGCGGCAUGAGUCAACUAACCUGGGAUAGGCUCAUAAGAACUCCCAAGCCUCCCGCUGUCCCUCCAUUUUUCAUUACUGCAGCCAGCCGGUGCCAACUUGAGAAGGUGAUGGGAAACCAAGCAUGUAGUGGAUGGUCUGAGAGUUCAGGUGUUGGAGUAAAUGCUGAUAAAAUCCAGAAGGAAACAUGUGAUUAAGUGAAGCAGUGAAACAUCUCCCUUUGGUUCUGAACGCGGCCAACGGCCCGGCCUACUCCGACCUGUGGCUCCGAGCCUUUUCGAAGCCGGCCCCACUAGAUAAUCGGCCACAUGGACUCCAGGCACGACAGCUGACCCAGUAGGUUCAUUUUCCUAUUUAAUUCCUCUCCUUUUAACGCUUCGGCCUAUUGAAGGUGUCGAUUUUUUUUUUUUUAUCCUGGUGCCCUGGCCCUUACCUGUUCUUCGUUUGUUUGUUUUUUUCACUUAUUUGUGAAAUAGUACUGAUAGAUAUGUCUGUGCCAAAAACUGACAAUACCAAAUGUGACCGUUAAAAUGGGUAAAUAUUGUAAUAUUGAAUUGUGCAGGUUUUGUUCAGAGAAACAUUAUUCUGUGUAAAUGAUUUCUCUUUCAUAUAAUUAUUUAUUUA
rnacentral:lncRNA from 1 species